rnacentral:rRNA from 1 species
AUUGAACGCUGGCGGCAUGCUUUACACAUGCAAGUCGAACGGCAGCGCGGGCUUCGGCCUGGCGGCGAGUGGCGAACGGGUGAGUAAUACAUCGGAACGUGCCCAGUAGUGGGGGAUAGCUCGGCGAAAGCCGGAUUAAUACCGCAUACGACCUGAGGGUGAAAGCGGGGGAUCUUCGGACCUCGCGCUAUUGGAGCGGCCGAUGGCAGAUUAGCUAGUUGGUGGGGUAAAGGCCUACCAAGGCGACGAUCUGUAGCUGGUCUGAGAGGACGACCAGCCACACUGGGACUGAGACACGGCCCAGACUCCUACGGGAGGCAGCAGUGGGGAAUUUUGGACAAUGGGCGAAAGCCUGAUCCAGCAAUGCCGCGUGUGUGAUGAAGGCCUUCGGGUUGUAAAGCACUUUUGGCGGGAACGAAAAGGACUGUGCCAAUACCACGGUUCGAUGACGGUACCCGCAGAAUAAGCACCGGCUAACUACGUGC